GUAGGGAAUAUUGCACAAUGGGCGAAAGCCUGAUGCAGCAACGCCGCGUGCGCGAUGAAGGCCUUCGGGUUGUAAAGCGCUUUUCGGGGAGAUGAGGAAGGACAGUAUCCCCGGAAUAAGGCUCGGCUAACUACGUGCCAGCAGCCGCGGUAACACGUAGGAGCCAAGCGUUAUCCGAAUUCACUGGGCGUAAAGCGCGUGCAGGCGGCGCAAUAAGUUGGAUGUGAAAUCUCCUGGCUCAACUGGGAGAGGACGUUCAAUACUGUUGUGCUAGAGGGCAAGAGAGGGAGGUGGAAUUCCCGGUGUAGUGGUGAAAUGCGUAGAUAUCGGGAGGAACACCAGUGGCGAAAGCGGCCUCCUGGAUUGCACCUGACGCUCAGACGCGAAAGCUAGGGGAGCGAACGGGAUUAGAAACCCCAGUAGUCC
rnacentral:rRNA from 1 species